GUGGAAUUUCUCAGUUGAAAGCAAAUGUAACAAGGUCCAAAAUAAUUGGAAAAUACACAACUACAUAAGCAAGAAUAGUCUCAUUGACGGACAGACAAGUGUUCCCGAGCAGAGGGCAGGGACGUCUGAGACGGCUUACUAUGCAGAAAUAGGAUCAUGAAGGUUCAUCGGAUGAAAGGUGAACACCCUGUUUCCCCGCUCUGUUACAGUGGCGUUGCGUCAGGAAGUCGUUCGUAUCAGUGAAGUCACUAUCACCACCCACCCCCAGAGUCUUUGCGCGCGCUUACGAGCCUUCAGACAAUUUCUAAAGUCACUGCCAGUCUUCUUCCUUCCACUGUUCAUCAUUUUGACCUCAGAGCGCAGACAGGAUUCUUGAUGACACGAAGGCCGAGUGAAGAGACAGCGUGUACCUGCAAAAGGGAAGUGAGUUUCAGAGGCCGAGAUGAAACUAUGGAGGCACGUCUGCUUAACGUGACCGUGUUUAAAUCCAAAGCAUCUAUCGGGACCAGAGAGGAGACUUUGGGUGAGGCCUGUCUCUUCUACAGCUUCCUGUGUCCACUGCAGAAGUAGGUCAACAGAGACGGCUGGUUGAUGAGUUGGAACAGGGAAAAAAAGGAGGGGAAAAAGUUCAUGCCUUAAUCCGUUGAGGGGAUAAUUAGAGACAGUUUCAUAUGUAACUUUAAAGAGUCUUUUUCCCCUUUUUUGUUGAAGAACAGUAGAGAUCUUGAGCUUCUCCAAUGACACUUUAUGGACUAAACAUUUCUGCUUAAGUUACAAGCGUGUCAUUCAGAGAUAUUCAGUUUGCAGCUGCAGCAAGUUACAGUACAGUAAGCACCAAUAAAGCCUCCACCUUCUGAAUUGUUGGACUCAUUCAGGGUUUUUGUGCUUCACAAAACAGAACCUAAAGCUUGUUAUGUAGUAUUACUUUUACACUGAUAAAGAAGAUCUAUCACCAUGUAAAACGCCUGAAGCAAUCUCUGCCUUUUUACAUAUGAGAGUUCAGAAAAAAAACUUUAACGCAUUAUUGCAAAAACGUUAUUAACAGGUUUACAUUCUGAUAAUUUAGAAAUUUUAUUUUGUUAAAGGCUUGUUUGCAAAAAAAAAAACCAAAACGCAUAUUUUUUUAUAUAUUCCUAAAGAUCCUUUUAAAACCAUAGGACACAUAAAAACUAUUCAAAUACGGGUGCUGUUAUAUUGAUUCUUAUGUAAAUUCAUGAUCACUUAUGCUGGUUUAAUAAGAAUGUCUUCUCUCCUGUAAAUAAGACAGAUAGCAGAACCUGAAACAAGUUGACAGGAAGUCAAACAUGCAUAGAACCUCAAUACUCAUUGACUUUGCACAAAAGAUGCCAUAUAUACAGAGUUUGAGUCCCUGGGGACACCAGGUUUGUUCUGUGAACAUUUUUUGUCCUGCCCUGCUUUGUCAAGCAACACAAUAGUAAUCAACAGGUAACCUUGUGACCCAAGCCAAACAAUUUUCAGAGAAAAUGUUGACUCAAUGACUUACGCCAGGGCCUCCUUUCUGUACAUCUACAAAAGGUUCACCUUAAUUUAUGUGAAAGACAUCACACAGUUUGAGUAAACAUAGUUUUUCUCUUUCUUUUUCCUGCGAUUUUGACAACGUCCCCGGGUCUCAGGCUGCUAAAUGACCACUAAAACCCCCCCGCUCCAUCUUUUUAAGCACUCAAAACUAAAAUGACAUGAAAGUUUUCACUUGUAAAUCUAAGUUUUCAUCUUUUUGGACUGCAUCACUGUAUGCUUUUUACAGUCAGCAACAUACAGCAACCAUUUUAAUCCCAUAUGCAUUUAGAUAUACAAGCAUUUCUUAGACCCCUAUCUCAAUAGCAUGAUCCAAAUGUUCCUUGUAUAUAACUUGGUCCAUGUUUUCUGGCCUGUAGUUAAUCAGCAUUCCACUAGGGGCAGUAGAAAGGCUUUUCCUACUCAUUUCAAAAUGGCUGCUUCGGUGAAAUCUCCAAAACACAUUUGGUGGGAAAAUUUAGCUUAUUUUCCAAACUCUAUGGUGAAAAUAACUCAUCAAAUGGUAUACAUAUUUUAAAUGACAACUUGCUGCAUUAAAAUCAAACAAUAUCUGUUGAUAAUUAACUCAAUAUACAAGUAAAUUAUGUUAAAAAAGUGUGGAUCAAAUUUGAGACUGCAGGUAAAUAAGGUGAUAAUAUUUUUUCGUCUUAAACUAACAUUUUAGUGAGCAAAAACUUAAGAAAUCGCCAAAUGUUUAAUCAGUGAUGCUGUCUGUGUCUAAUAGAAAAUGGCAUUGACAUCUGUUUUCAUCAAAGGGUUUAAUAAACACUCCUAAUUCCGUAAAAAAUAAAAUUCUGUCUGUUCUUUGAUCUACUGGGCUUGACAGUGUUAUUACUGAAUGAAUUCAUUACUAAUGUUUGCAAAAAUAGAAUUCACUUUAUUGCUCUAUAGUUAAUUUUUGAACAUCAUCAAAUUUCUUCUGUGAUUUUUAAUAAUUUUUUUUAUCCCUCCAUCUUUUUUCCACACAUACAUUCUCCCAAGCAGGAUUCUGCUGGAGUCCGUCUUCAGGUAAAGGCAGGGCAGACAGGAAUCAGCUGUCACAAAUGAAUUCUACAGGGUUAAAAACAGUAAAAGAAAUUGUAAUAAAAAUCAUUCCUGGCGGAUAUUGUUCCUGUUAUUUCUUUAGACAAGAGUAACUUUAAAAAACUCUUGCAGCUGAAUUUGUCUUUAUGUUCCAAACCUGCAGAGAAAGAUAAAGGCACAGAGGGAAAAAUCAAGGAAGUGGCCAAACAUGUCAUCUGGUGCAAAGCUUCAACUCCUGCCUCGUAAGUGAGGCCUGUGACUAAGAUCGGAAAAGAGGAGGAGUGUGCCGGCGUUGCCAAACCAAUGCUGCAGAGACGAGAACAAAGUUUUGCUCCUCAGAGAAAAGGUGAUGCUCGCCUCGGACCCGCCAUGCCAGAUGAUUGGCCAGACCGCCUUGCUUGGCAAGAACUAGCAGAGACCCGGGUCGAGUGGAUGGAGAGUGGUGGAUGUACAGAAGAGGGAGGCGGCGUGGUGUUUGGAGCUGGUCUGGUGUGGAAGCGUAGAGAGGACUCUUCCCAACGUUCAACGUGUGAGACUUGGAAUUCUCUCCUGGAUCAGUGCUUAGAUUUUGGAAAGAAGAGGAAUCAACACAUGAUCACUAUCAGCCUGUGUGUUUGCGUGGUGGUUUGCUGUGUGGUCUCCAGGUAAAAAGGUUCACAACUCAUUGUUGGCUUUUUUUGUAUCUGAUGAUGCUAAGUUGUGUGUGUUCUCUGAAGCGAGGUGACCCAUUCGCUUGUGCAGGUUCCAAUUCCACCUUUCCUUUGAACAGGUUAAGUCAAAUACAGGAAGUAUGAUCUUACCCAGCAAGUGUUAUGAGCAGGAUCAGAUCCCCAAAUGAAUGACUCAAAUCUAGACAAGCUGUAACCAUUUCCUUAAAAGUUUAGCAGUCAGAAUGAUCCUGUGAGAGGUCAGGCUACAACAUCAUAAACCUGUGAGAACUGACGAGAAACCCAAUUUAUUACAUCUCAUUUUUUUAAAAUCUUUGUCCUCCCUAGUAUGUGAUCCCCACUCUGUGUAAAUCAUGUAGCUGUGGGUAUAAGGAUGCAGAAGUGGCACAAGCUCAUCUAAUACCUCCAACUUUCUGAUUUAUUUCCUUUAGAACUGGUGGAGUUCCAUGAUUUAAAUAAAAAUUACAUUUUAAAUACAUCAUAAAUGAGACAUUUUCAACCAGUCAGCUAAAUGUAGUGUUGUCUAUUUCUAUUUUCCCUUUUUAUUCUCAGUACUGUCUAUUUGUUAUGAGCAAUUAUGCUGUUUGGAGGAAUCAUGUACUUGUUUGGUCUGCUAGAGGCUAACCACAGCAGCUACUUCUUUCUUCUCUGGUUUCCAACAUCUGUGAGACUUUAGAAAUAAAGAUUGUAUUUAAACCGAUCUCUUUAAAAAAAAAAGUUUUAAUUCUGUUUUCCCUUUAACUUGUAACUUAACUUGUAACUCAUCUUAGAUAUUUGGUUGUUCAAAAGUCCAAAAGUGUUUUUCUCUUUUUGCAUGUCACGUUUACAAACUGCAUAAACUAGGAAGAAAUGAUGAUAAAAGAGUAGAACCAGAGAUUAAAGACACAUGAAUGAUUGAAACUGAUUUCAUUUGAUGAAAUCUCACUUCCAAAUGAACCGAUACAAGGAUCAAAAGAGUAAAGGUUUUUUUUUUUUUUGGUCCAGCGCGGAGGAGGAGAGGUUGACUUGUAAUGAUUCAUUUUCCUUAAUGCUUUCCAUCGAACUCUUUAGCAAUCCAGCAAUCCAAACUUUUAGUAAUGACCAAUUUUUCACUUUUCACACAAGUCUGUGGAAGAGCCACUCCAACACUGAAUCAUGUCUGAGUUUUAUUGAGCCGAGUUGGCGCUGCAAGAAACCGUGAUGUCAUCCUGUACAGUAUGGGGAUCAGCAAGUUGCUUGAACCAGCAGCAGUGGGCAAAAGCAUCAAGAGCAGUAGCACUAAAAUCAUUAUGGCAGUGAGUUAAAGCCGCAGCAUUUCUGAUGUGUUUUUUCUUCUAUCGAGGGGACAUUAGUGAGAGCUUUGGAGACUGUGCGCCUGUAAAAGCGGCUCCAAAAUUACACGUUGGAAGUUUCCAGAUAUUGAAGCGUGGUUGGGGCUUUUUAAUGUGGCGAUGCUUAAUAGUGGUUUUACAGUCUGCCAAUGAAAUCUGUUGUUUUCACCAUGGGACCCCAACAUGGCAUCAUAAUCAUGACCAGUUUAAGGCAGUAAAAUACAGGUUUUAAUGUGUUUUCUGAGUAGGUGAUUUAAUAAAACUCCUGCAGCUUCU